GUUGUCGUCAGCUCGUGUCGUGAGAUGUUGGGUUAAGUCCCGCAACGAGCGCCAACCCCUAUUGUUAGUUGCCAUCAUUCAGUUGGGCACUCUAGCGAGACUGCCGGUAAUAACCGGAGGAAGUGGGAUGACGUCAAAUCAUCAUGCCCCUUAUGACCUGGGCUACACACGUGCUACAAUGGUUGGUACAACGAGUUGCGAGUCGGUGACGGCGAGCUAAUCUCUUAAAGCCAAUCUCAGUUCGGAUUGUAGGCUGCAACUCGCCUACAUGAAGUCGGAAUCGCUAGUAAUCGCGGAUCAGCACGCCGCGGUGAAUACGUUCCCGGGCCUU
rnacentral:rRNA from 1 species